rnacentral:lncRNA from 1 species
UUCGGCUGAUUGUGGGGAGUUUUUUGUGUCAAAAAUUUCAGUUGGUUGCUGCAAAUAAAGUCAGUAGUUGGCUGGAGAAAAACAUAGAAGAAAAGUGCUGAAAAAUAUAGACAAAUUGGCGGCUGAUUACAUGAAUUAAUUUGGAACCGACACAGAUUGAGGUGGCAGCUUUUGGAAGGAAUUUGGAAAUCAUUCACGUUCUGUC